rnacentral:rRNA from 1 species
CCUACGUGAGGCUGCAGUGGGGAAUAUUGGGCAAUGGGCGCAAGCCUGACCCAGCAACGCCGCGUGAAGGAAGAAGGCUUUCGGGUUGUAAACUUCUUUUCUCAGGGACGAAGCAAGUGACGGUACCUGAGGAAUAAGCCACGGCUAACUACGUGCCAGCAGCCGCGGUAAGACGUAGGUGGCAAGCGUUAUCCGGAUUUACUGGGUGUAAAGGUCGUGUAGGCGGGAAAGCAAGUCAGAUGUGAAAACCACGGGCUCAACCUGUGGCAAGCAUUUGAAACAGUUUUGUUUGAGUACUGGAGAGGCAGACGGGAUUCGUAGUGUAGCGGUGAAAUGCGUAGAUAUUAGGGGGAACACCAGUGGCGAAGGCGGUAUGCUGGAGAGCAACUGACGCUGAGGCGCGAAAGCGUGGGGAGCAAACAGGAUUAGAUACCCGGGUAGUC